rnacentral:misc_RNA from 1 species
CCUGCAAUAGUUCCUCUCCGCCAUUUUCUUUGUACGCAAAACGGAUGGCGGUAUCUUAAACUAAUUCAUAGAGAAGGAAUUAGAAAGAGUCAUAGUUUCAUACCGAGUUGUUCCAGCCAAACAGUCGAAAAUUACUACAGUGGGUGCCGAAGUUGUGGGAGCAGCAAUGUGGUGGUGGAUAUUGUG